ACAUGCAAGUCGAGCGGUAAGGCCCUUUCGGGGGUACACGAGCGGCGAACGGGUGAGUAACACGUGAGUAAUCUGCCCUUCACUUCGGGAUAAGCCUCGGAAACGGGGUCUAAUACCGGAUACGACACUUUUACGCAUGUAAUGGGUGUGGAAAGUUUUUUCGGUGGGGGAUGUGCUCGCGGCCUAUCAGCUUGUUGGUGGGGUAAUGGCCUACCAAGGCUUCGACGGGUAGCCGGCCUGAGAGGGUGACCGGCCACACUGGGACUGAGACACGGCCCAGACUCCUACGGGAGGCAGCAGUGGGGAAUAUUGGACAAUGGGCGGAAGCCUGAUCCAGCAACGCCGCGUGAGGGAUGACGGCCUUCGGGUUGUAAACCUCUUUCAGCGGGGACGAAGCGCAAGUGACGGUACCCGCAGAAGAAGCACCGGCCAACUACGUGCCAGCAGCCGCGGUAAUACGUAGGGUGCGAGCGUUGUCCGGAAUUAUUGGGCGUAAAGGGCUCGUAGGCGGUUUGUCGCGUCGGGAGUGAAAACGCCGGGCUUAACUCGGUGCUUGCUUUCGAUACGGGCAGACUAGAGGCAUGCAGGGGAGAACGGAAUUCCAGGUGUAGCGGUGAAAUGCGCAGAUAUCAGGAGGAACACCGGUGGCGAAGGCGGUUCUCUGGGCAUGUCCUGACGC
rnacentral:rRNA from 1 species